rnacentral:rRNA from 1 species
AGAGUUUGAUCAUGGCUCAGGAUGAACGCUGGCGGCGUGCUUAACACAUGCAAGUCGAACGAUGAAGACCGUGCUUGCACGGUUGGAUUAGUGGCGAACGGGUGAGUAUCACGUGAGUAACCUUCCCUUAACUCUGGGAUAAGCCCGGGAAACUGGGUCUAAUACCGGAUACGACCAGUCCUCGCAUGGGGUGCUGGUGGAAAGAUUUAUCGGUUUUGGAUGGACUCGCGGCCUAUCAGCUUGUUGGUGAGGUAAUGGCUCACCAAGGCGAUGACGGGUAGCCGGCCUGAGAGGGUGACCGGCCACACUGGGACUGAGACACGGCCCAGACUCCUACGGGAGGCAGCAGUGGGGAAUAUUGCACAAUGGGCGAAAGCCUGAUGCAGCGACGCCGCGUGCGGGAUGACGGCCUUCGGGUUGUAAACCGCUUUCAGCAGGGAAGAAGCGAAAGUGACGGUACCUGCAGAAGAAGCGCCGGCUAACUACGUGCCAGCAGCCGCGGUAAUACGUAGGGCGCGAGCGUUAUCCGGAAUUAUUGGGCGCAAAGAGCUCGUAGGCGGUUUGUCACGUCUGCUGUGAAAGCCCGGGGCUCAACCCCGGGUGUGCAGUGGGUACGGGCAGACUAGAGUGCAGUAGGGGAGACUGGAAUUCCUGGUGUAGCGGUGAAAUGCGCAGAUAUCAGGAGGAACACCGAUGGCGAAGGCAGGUCUCUGGGCUGUUACUGACGCUGAGGAGCGAAAGCAUGGGGAGCGAACAGGAUUAGAUACCCUGGU